rnacentral:snRNA from 1 species
AGCUUUGCACAGUGGCAAUAUCAUAGUCAAUGAGGUUUAUCCGAGGCGCGAUUAUUGCUAAUUUAAAACUUUUCCCAAUGCCCCGCCGUGACGACUGGCAAUUUUUGACAGUCUAUACAGAGA